CUGCUGAAUUAAACGUGUUAGUAAGUUUAACUUAAUGAACCUACCAGUGACAUUGAGGUGACAUUCCUUAAAGUUCUUCCCAUAACUUGUGUCCACUUGACACCAGUACAGCCCCGAGUCAUUAGUCUGGAGUCUGGAGAUGUGAAGUCUGAGUCGUCCUUCUCUGAGGACGUCUUUGUCCCACUGGAGUCGUCCUGUAAAGCGUUCAUCCUGAAUCUGUGGGACCUCGACACCUUCAUACAGAUGAAACAUGAGUGAGGGUCUCUCAUCAGCUAACAUCUCACAGGAGACAUAAAGGGCGUUGGGGGAGGGGUCCGUGCUGGUGGGGAACAUCCAUUCCAGUGAGAUGUUGUGGUUCUCCUCUGCAUGAUACCAGCUCUGUGUCACAUUCACUACAAAUGACCCUGCUGAGGAGACAGAGAAGGAGAGGAGGAGGUGACAAAGUGACAGCUUUAACAUGGAGCCUUUAGACUCCAUCUCCAGAUGUUUCUGAGGAGUGUGUGCUGAUGCUUCACAGCUGCUUCACAAACACAAAAGUGAACUGACCACAGACACAGGAGGUCAGGAUGAAGAUCACCAGGAUGCUGCAGAUCAUCUCCUCCCUGUGAGAGGAGACAGAGGAGAAGAGGCUCAAACAUCAUCAUCACACCAACAAUCUACAGUGUGUCUUCACAUCCUGAUGCUCUUUGUGUUCUUCAUCAUGCUUGUUACAAACACACAAAGCUUUCAUGCUGAUGACAACCUCCAGGAGAACGACAACCACAAAGUGAAGCUGGUUUUCCUGGAGAUGUUUCACUCAAAUAAAAGAAAUACAAACUGCAAACAAAGUGUCCAGACUUCCAAACAAGAAAUCAAUGGACUUUGUGUCACAUUGUGGCUGUCGCACAUGCACAGAAUGGAAGCAUCGCUUCAGACAAAUUCCUCCUUUGGUCCAAGAUGUCGAUCAUUAAUUAACAACACUAACUUGUUUGUUCUCCUCGGACCGAGUUUCCAACUGAACCUUAAACUCUUCAAACAGACCUCAUGUUUCCUCCAACACAUCCGUUUCUUAUUGUCAUCAAUGAAGCACAGUGUGAACAUCUAUGUACAAAUAUAACAAAUACCACACAGGGAACUCACACAACCUCAUGAGGCGGUUCUUCUGGAAUUCUUCCAACUCGUAAAAAUCCACGAGACCUCAGAUAAUAAAUGUUAAAAUAAUCAUAACACCAACAUUAAGAGAUUCUCUCCUUACCCUGGAUGUCUUGAACUGAAGCUCUU
ensembl:lncRNA